GAGAAUAUAGUUUAAUUGGUUAAAAUAUCAUCUUGUCAAGAUGAAUGUUACGAGUUCAACUCUCGUUAUUCUCG
rnacentral:tRNA from 1 species